UACAGAGGUGCCGAGCGUUAGGCGGAAUCACUGGGCUUAAAGCGUGUGUAGGCGGACCGUUAAGUGCCUCGUGAAAUCCCCCGGCUCAACCGGGGAACGGCCGGGCAUACUGGCGGUCUUGAGCGGCCUAGGGGCAGAUGGAACAGGCGGUGGAGCGGUGAAAUGCGUAGAGAUGUGGAGGAACACCGAUGGCGAAGGCAGCCUCCUGGGCCGACACUGACGCUCAUGCACGAAAGCGAGGGGAGCAAACAGG
rnacentral:rRNA from 1 species